GCGGGUAUGGUUCAAUGGUAGAACAAGAGAUUUCCAAUCUUUUAAUGCGGGUUCGAUUCCCGCUACCCGCU
rnacentral:tRNA from 2 species